GGUCCGGUAGUUCAGUUGGUUAGAAUGCCUGCCUGUCACGCAGGAGGUCGCGGGUUCGAGUCCCGUCUUUUUUG
rnacentral:tRNA from 1 species